rnacentral:misc_RNA from 1 species
AACCUUAUGGACCUGCGGGCGUAUACCUGCGGAAGGAUCAUUACCGAGUUAGGGUAGUCACUCACUGCCCGACCUCCCAACCCUGUGUCUACCACACUUUGUCGUUGCUUCGGCGGACCGGUUGACCAACUGGUCGUGACCGCCGGGGGCUGGUUCUGUCCCCCUGGAGAGCGUCCGCCGAUGGCCACACCACAAAAACUCUUGUACCGAAACGUGUCGUCUGAAUUAUAUUUGAGAAAU